AUUGAACGCUGGCGGCAUGCUUUACACAUGCAAGUCGAACGGUAACAGGCCUUCGGGUGCUGCCGAGUGGCGAACGGGAGAGUAAUGCAUAGGCACGUACCCAGAGGUGGGGGAUAACGCAGCGAAAGCUGUGCUAAUACCGCAUGUGAUCUGAGGAUGAAAGCGGGGGACCGGGCAGCCGUGUUUGGCCUCACGCCUUUGGAGCGGCCGAUGUCGGAUUAGCUAGUUGGUGGGGUAAGGGCCUACCCAGGCGACGAUCCGUAGCUGGUCUGAGAGGACGACCAGCCACACUGGCACUGAGGCACCGCCCAGACUCCUACGGGAGGCAGCAGUGGUGAAUUUUGGACAAUGGGCGCAAGCCUGAUCCAGCACUGCCGCGUGCGGGAAGAAGCCCUUCGGGUUGUAAACCGCUUUUGGCAGGAACGUAGUGUUGUCCGCUAAUACCGGGCGCUAAUGACGGUACCUGCAGAAUAAGCCCCGGCUAACUACGUG
rnacentral:rRNA from 1 species